rnacentral:lncRNA from 1 species
CACACAAACACACUCACACACACAAACACACUCACACACACAAACACACUCACACAUACAAACACACUCACACACACAAACACACACACAAACACACUCACACACACAAACACACUCACACACACACACACACUCACACACACAAACACUCACACACACAAACACACUCACACACACAAACACACUCACACACACAAACACACUCACACACACAAGCACAAACACACUCAUACAAACACACUCUCACACACACA